rnacentral:rRNA from 1 species
UACAGAGGGUGCGAGCGUUGUCCGGAAUCACUGGGCGUAAAGGGCGCGUAGGCGGCCGUUCAAGUCGGGGGUGAAAGCCUGUGGCUCAACCACAGAAUGGCCCUCGAUACUGGAUGGCUCGAGACCGGAAGAGGUUGGUGGAACUGCGAGUGUAGAGGUGAAAUUCGUAGAUAUUCGCAAGAACACCAGUGGCGAAGGCGGCUCACUGGCCCGAUACUGACGCUGAGGUGCGAAAGCGUGGGGAGCAAACAGG